ensembl:lncRNA
AGGAAAGCAUCCUUUAUUUAGGGUCAUUUCCAAAACAAGUGCUCGUUUUGGUAAACAAAGUUAAAUAAGGUUGCAGAAACCAAAUUGAUGAGAACAAGCGAAUAAAAAAUAAAGGCAUAACAUUUGAGCUAAUGUGAUCAGACAAUGUUGAUGGUGUCGUGUCAUCAACCAAUUAGUCAAGAUGGUUGAUGGUGUAGUGUCAUCAACCAAUUAGUCAAGAUGGUUGGUGUCGUGUCAUCAACCAAUUAGUCAAGAUGGUUGAUGGUGUCGUGUCAUCAACCAAUUAGUCAUGAUGGUUGAUGGGUGUUGUCAUCAACCAAUUAGUCAAGAUGGUUGAUGGUGUAGUGUCAUCAACCAAUUAGUCAAGAGGGUUGAUGGUGUC